UACGAAGGGGGCGAGCGUUGUUCGGAUUUACUGGGCGUAAAGGGCGCGCAGGCGGCUUUGUUUGUGAGGCGUGAAAGCCCCGGGCUUAACCUGGGAACUGCGUUUGAUACGGCAGGGCUAGAGUUCGGGAGAGGAGAGUGGAAUUCCCAGUGUAGAGGUGAAAUUCGUAGAUAUUGGGAAGAACACCGGUGGCGAAGGCGGCUCUCUGGACCGAUACUGACGCUGAGGCGCGAAAGCGUGGGGAGCAAACAGG
rnacentral:rRNA from 1 species